AUUGAACGCUGGCGGCAUGCUUUACACAUGCAAGUCGAACGGCAGCAUGGGUGCUUGCACCUGAUGGCGAGUGGCGAACGGGUGAGUAAUGUAUCGGAACAUAUCCGCAAGUGGGGGAUAACGUAGCGAAAGUUACGCUAAUACCGCAUAUUCCCUGAGGGGGAAAGGAGGGGAUCCGCAAGGACCUUUCGCUUACGGAGUGGCCGAUAUCAGAUUAGCUAGUUGGUGGGGUAAAGGCCUACCAAGGCGACGAUCUGUAGCGGGUCUGAGAGGAUGAUCCGCCACACUGGGACUGAGACACGGCCCAGACUCCUACGGGAGGCAGCAGUGGGGAAUUUUGGACAAUGGGGGCAACCCUGAUCCAGCCAUGCCGCGUGAGUGAAGAAGGCCUUCGGGUUGUAAAGCUCUUUCAGCUGGAAAGAAAUCGCAUCACCUAAUACGUGGUGUGGAUGAUGGUACCAGCAGAAGAAGCACCGGCUAACUACGUGCCAGCCGCCGCAGUAAGAC
rnacentral:rRNA from 1 species